UACGUAGGGGGGCAAGCGUUGUCCGGAAUCAUUGGGCGUAAAGCGCGUGUAGGCGGUCCGGUAAGUCCGCUGUGAAAGUCGGGGGCUUAACCCUCGGAUGCCGGUGGAUACUGUCGGGCUUGAGUACGGAAGAGGCGAGUGGAAUUCCUGGUGUAGCGGUGAAAUGCGCAGAUAUCAGGAGGAACACCAAUUGCGAAGGCAGCUCGCUGGGACGUUACUGACGCUGAGACGCGAAAGCGUGGGGAGCAAACAGGAUAG
rnacentral:rRNA from 1 species